ensembl:snoRNA SNORA75 Small nucleolar RNA SNORA75
AUCUAUUCUUUGAGCUCCUUUCUGUCAACUGGUGACAGUUUAUGGAUCUGCAUGAGAAGGAAGGAUUUUACAGAACUAGUAUGACCUUACCUUCUGUUUACACAGAAGUACAUUUGACUAUUUUGUGAGACAUUC